rnacentral:rRNA from 1 species
CAGCCGCCGCGGUAAUACAGAGGGUGCGAGCGUUAAUCGGAAUUACUGGGCGUAAAGCGCACGUAGGCGGCUUGGCAUGUCGGGUGUGAAAUCCCCGGGCUCAACCUGGGAACUGCAUCCGAAACUGCCUUGCUAGAGUAUGGGAGAGGGAAGUGGAAUUUCCGGUGUAGCGGUGAAAUGCGUAGAUAUCGGAAGGAACAUCAGUGGCGAAGGCGACUUCCUGGACCAAUACUGACGCUCAGGUGCGAAAGCGUGGGGAGCAAACAGGAUUAGAUACCCUGGUAGUCCACGCCCUAAACGAUGACAACUAGAUGUCGGGAGGGUUUGCCUUCCGGUGUCGUAGCUAACGCGUUAAGUUGUCCGCCUGGGAAGUACGGCCGCAAGGUUGAAACUUAAAGGAAUUGACGG